rnacentral:lncRNA from 1 species
AACUGAAAAUAAAGGCCCCAUGAAAUGAAUGAGCGGUGAAAGUAAGUUUAUGGAGAGUGAUGAUAGAAAAAUAACUCUGAAAGGGACUACAGAUUUUCACACCAAGCAGAGGUGCGGGAGGUCUGAGGUCCUGGGUAAGGACUAUGAAUCUCACCCACUCCCCUGAUAUUUGCAUCUUAGAAAGUAACCUUAGUACUUUAAUUUUUAUUUUUAUUUUAUUUUAUUUUUCCAAUUUGUUCUAAGUAUUUUUUUUUUUUUGUAUGCAAUUCUUUUGCUUGGUAAAAUGGCACAAAGUUUGAUUACCAACCAAAAAAAAAGUAAAAGUCCCUGUUUUAAAGACUUACAGAAAUAAAGCUGUUGUGUAAUUGGCUGCUAAAUAAAUAACUUUCACAAUAUGAACUCCAAACCAUUUGUGGAGUUGAUUUCUAAGUGUCAAAAUGAUGAAGUUGUUUUUCUCCCUAAAUCUUAAUCCACUUCUGUUGUAGGUUAAUAGAAAAAAAAAAUGUAUUCUCUUUUGUUUUUUUUUUUUUUUUUUUUUUUUGAUUUCAACAAUUCCAGUUGCUUUUGUGUCAUUUUCAAGCAGUUCCCCCUUCCAAGCAGCAUACUUCAGGAAUUGGGUUUAAACACACUGUUUCAUAAACUGCCAGCCUCCUCGGCCGCCCCAGUGCCUCUGAUUCCGUAAAUCAGAUCAUAGGCAGCAUGCUGUCAUAUAAUAAGGUGUCUGAUCCUUAUUACCAGUUUGUUGAUGCACAGACUCCUUCAAAUUGACCAUCGCAGCACAUGGUUUCCCUGGAACUAGCUGUGAUAAUUAGCGUGGUUCUAAUGAGACAGAAUGUCACUGAUCUUGUGCUGAACUGUCGAGUAUCGACACUACGGAUGGGAACUGUCAGAGCCUGCCAUCUGUGACAGCGCUUGGCAUAUUCCAGUGGCAAGGUAGAGUGUGCUCGGUAGAGUAUUUUCAAACAAAUGGCCCUUUUCUUGACGAGGCUCUGCGAUCUGUUCGACUGGAGGAGAAUGGGCAAACCCAACUUUGUCCUACGUGAAGCCCUAUUUUGACGUCCACGGAGGACUAUUGACUAUGUUCAGUGUUACAUAAGGGAGGAAGCUUUUGUUUAGCUGGUGACUUUUACCGUGGCCGUUCUUUCCCUGUUGCAUGUGCUUGCUGGUGUGCUGUGUGCAGUAGCCUCUCCCAGUCGCCCCAUAUUGUCAGCUCACAGUAAAACAGUCACUUCAAAUACUUUCCCCUGAUUUGAAUAUUGCCUUGUUUAGAAGAGAUUUGUUGGGGAGCUGAGGAUGGCUUUUAGUGAUGAAGUGGUCUAAGUUAGCAGAGGGAAAGGGGAAACGGAGGGAGAAUUCAGAAUGUGGGUGAGAGCACACAAGAAGAAUCGGAAUGGACAGAAUGUCGGGUCUGCAGACUCCAGAGAGAAGGAGGGAGGUUUUACUGGAGUAAAAGUCCAGUACUGCUUAUCAUUCCAAAAUAUGCUUUGUUGCUUUUUAUUCCUCCUCUCUGGCAGACCACACAGGGCUUGUUCUGAAGAACAUUUUCACUAAUCUGAUCAGGCAGCCAAAUACGCCGGGAAAACUGCUUUAAUGAUCCCACUAAUUACCUCAAGUCAAUAUGAACUGUAUUAUUAGACUGAGGGAAAAUAUUCCAUUAGGUCUCCCCCUCGGGAGUUUCUCCGCUUUGUGAUGUCACCGAAGCCUUCACCCUCUCGCUUGUAAUUAAUUUUAUUUACACACGCAGGCACGCACAAGGUCACACCUGCAGAACCAUCGCUGGCCAGGGAGCGUGUGGCACUCGGGCUUAAUCAGAUCUGUCAUAAUUACCAUUCUGCAUGUUUCUGACACACGCUGUGAAAUAUUUCAAUUUAACUGCCGCUACCAGCACAACCAGAUGUAGUGCGAGUGUGGCUGCAUUGGAAAUAUUAUUCCGCAGGAUAAACUCUCUCCUCCUCCUCUUCCCUCCCCCCCUCCAGCUAAUGUGGCACAGAAGCUGAUGUAUCCUGUAAAUCUUGAAUGUAGCGCUAGAUUGAUAACAGGCGAUUAGACAGUUUAACCACAAACAGCUUGUUCAUUUUUCACAAAUGAAAACCACAUGUGGUGGAACUAAAAUUUCAACCCCUUUUUUUUGUAAGGGUUGGGGUAUGUGUAUGUGUGGAAGAUGUCCUUAAAUAACAAUAAAAUGAGCAAUCCAAAGAAGUUAAGUGUUUAGAAAAAUGGAGACAUUGCCUAGUUUCCCUCCAGAUUUAUCAAAACCUCAUCAUAUUCCCUUUUACACUUUAACCAAAACUCAAAUGGGAAAAAGAUUGUGGUCUCUGGUGGGCUUUCAGGAUGUUGUAUUUAAAAAAAAAAAAACUUUUGCUCCAUUGGUCUGUAAUAGCCCUUUGACCUUAUGCCUU